rnacentral:lncRNA from 1 species
CUCCCCUCUCCAAAGCUUGAAUGAGAUGUUCCACAAGGUGACCAACUUUUUGCAGACAUCCCGUCAAAUCAGGGAUAGUCUAAUAAAACUCCUACUUGCUCUCACACCGAGUUUUCCUAUUUCUACCGAGGGUUGUCAAAGCCUUUCAGAUAACUCCAUGCCCACUUGUCUAGCAAGGCCUUAUUCAUCUAUUUAAUAUUUUUUAUGCCAAGCACUCCCUGUUCCUUGGAACUACAUACACUGUCCAAACUCAUGAGGUUGUGAAAACCACUAACCUUGUCCUUACCUUUUCAUGGAAAGGCUCUUCUAAUCUUCUCGAUUCUGAUAAUGACCCAUUUGGCAAGCUCGAACAUAGGCAUGUAGUAUGGAGGGCGACAACGCUAUGUUGAUCAAAAUAACAUAACCACUCCAAGACAGACAUC